rnacentral:ncRNA from 20 species
UGAUUUCUUCGGGGCAGGGUGAAAUUCCCGACCGACGGUGACAACUUAAAGUUGAAGUCCGUGACCCACGUUUAACGUGGUUGACCCAGUGUGAGUCUGGGACCGACAGUAUAGUCUGGAUGGGAGAAGAAACGA